UCUCAGAGACCACGGCUGGCUCCAGCGUCCUCCCCGGUGGCUAGCAUGACCUGGAGCAUUGUGGGAAAUCAAUCAAUUACUGACCUGGGUCCCCCGGCACAAGUCAAUGCCACCGGGUCCACAGUGACCCACAUUCCAGCGGGGACAGCCAAGGCAGGAAGCCGGGGCAGGGUCUGGGCGGGCAAAGCAGAGGGUGCUGGGAGUCAGGCCCCAGCCCCUCCUCUUCCCUGGGCCUCAGUUUCCCCAUCUGUAAAGCCUGUGAUGCUGCGUGUCUGCAGCUGCCAGAGACCUUCCGGCAGGGAAGGAGGAGCAGAGGCAUAUCCGAUAUCCGCGCCUUGGAGAGGCUGUGCACAGGAUGUGACCUGACUCCCGAUUCCUGGGGCUGCUGAGCGGGGAGACCAUCACGCUGAGGCUGCUGGUGGCCGUCCUGCCGCCUUGCAGGGACUCUCCGGAGAAAGCAGGCAAGAGUGGGGCCUGGAAAGAGACAGAGCUGGAAACAUCUCAAAUGACCCAGGCCCACGUCUGUCCGGCUGAUGUUCGCCCAUUUUCAGAUGCACAGCCCGCACCCGAGAAGUCACCUGGCGCCCAGGAGGCCCACAGGGACUCGAGGCUCUGUCUGCUCAGCGGUGCUGUGAACACAAAACUGCUCGGAAGCAGGAAGCCUAGUAAAUGGCACAUCACGGGACUGGUGCUGCGGAGGGUGCAGCCUUGGGCCUGCCCUCUCUGGCACCGGUGACACCUGGACACCCGCUCCCCCCGCCUCCACGGCAUCCCCGGCGGGUGCUUCCUGUGGCUGAGUCUAGGCGCGCCCAGGCGGUUUCCUCCUCCACUUACCAGGGGACUUUGGGGUUGUUUCCAGGCUUUUUGGCUUCUACAAAUAAAGGUGUUAUAACGUUAAAAAACAAAAACACCCAGGGGCUGUGGAGCCCAG